UGGAUUUAUUUCCAUAUCAAAGAUAUACUCAUCAUUAAUUGAUGAGAUUAUUUUAAUUAGUCGUGUGUGCUUAUGCUCGUGAGGGUGUCAGUAUACAAAAUUUUAAAGUUGAGU
rnacentral:ncRNA from 1 species